UACAGAGGAUGCAAGCGUUAUCCGGAAUGAUUGGGCGUAAAGCGUCUGUAGGUGGCUUUUUAAGUCCGCCGUCAAAUCCCAGAGCUCAACCCUGGACCGGCGGUGGAUACUCCCAAGCUUGAGUACGGUAGGGGCAGAGGGAAUUUACGGUGGAGCGGUGAAAUGCGUAGAGAUCGGAAAGAACACCAGCGGCGAAAGCGCUCGGCUGGGCCGUAACUGACACUGAGAGACGAAAGCUAGGGGAGCGAAUGGG
rnacentral:rRNA from 1 species